GUGAAAAGACGAAUUUCUAAUGCAAGAAAUUGUAUAGGGCUAAUAAAGUGAUCUUAUCUUAUCUUAUCUUAUCAUUUCAUGACAGCUAAAAUACUUGUUAUCAGUGGCUUGAAUACCUGAAUGCAAAUAUUAUCAUAUCAUCUUGAAGCUGGUUAGCUCCCAACCUGCCAACUGGAAAUAAGCAUUCAGCAUGUACUGCCAGCAGCAUUUUGAAGUAAUUGAAUGUGAAACUGGAAAUAACAUGGAUGUUUAUGGACGUAUAUUCACAAACAAGAACAAGAAAGUUAUUUUCUACUGUAGGUGAAUUUAUUUAAAGUCCUUUUGCCCCAAUGACUGCAUUAGCUUAGUGGGACUGAACACUGUUGUUGAAGAUGAAACUUGUAUUUUUUGUGUGAAUAAGGAUUGUUUUAUUUGAAACUCUUUAUAAUGUACAGUAUAUUACUUGCCCACAUAGCAUAUUAUCUUGUUCAGUGAGUUGCAAAAGGAACAACGGUUUUCUGGAAAACAUGUCAAUGUGGAUCAUUGUGAAAGUGGAUAAGGAUUGUUUUGUUCUCAAUGUAAGCACAACAUGAUGGGGAAAAUACCAGAAAGUAGCCUGCUUUUAUUGGGUUAGAUGCAUGUUAUGUGAGUGAAAAAGUUUUCCCUUGACUAAACUGUAUGCUUUGAAUGUCUAUGAUAACAUCUUUGGAUUUACAACAGAAUUUUAGAUCAAAGAGCUGUGUGUUGGGAAAUUAUUUUUACAAAGAAGCUAAAUUCGUUUUGCUUAUCCUUCUUUAAAGUAAGUAAUAAAUUAUUUCCCUUUUGAUGCUUUAACAUGCAUGUGUCCUUGAGUGUUUUCUUUGUUUUCUUUCUUUCUUAUUGAUACAAUUCUUUCUUGUAUUUAUUUUAUUGGCAGAAGAUUUUGCUAACAUUAUUUGGGCAUUUAAUUUAAUGCUAAUUGUUUUAAUGGAAGAAUGUUGAAUUUAGAUUAAAAUUUCUUUUUAACCUCUCUGUAUUUUGCCAUAUUUCUAAUAAACAAGCUUUUGCCAUCAA